rfam:Brachypodium distachyon strain Bd21 chromosome 1, whole genome shotgun sequence.
UAGAUACUCCCUCCGUCCCAUAUUAAGUGACGUUUUAUUACAUGCAUCUAGACGCCCUUUAGACAUAGAUACGUUCAUAUUUGGGCAAAUUUGAGUCACUUAAUAUGGGACGGAAGGAGUAUAAA